rnacentral:rRNA from 1 species
GAUGAACGCUAGCGGAAGGCUUAAUACAUGCAAGUCGAGCGAGAAGGUGUAGCAAUACACUUGUAAAGCGGCGAACGGGUGAGGAAUACAUGGGUAAUCUACCAUCGAGUGGGGAAUAACCAACCGAAAGGUUGGCUAAUACCGCGUACGCCUCCGAAUCUUCGGGUUCGGAGGGAAAGCUGCACUGUGAGUGUAGCGCUCUUUGAUGAGCUCAUGUCCUAUCAGCUUGUUGGUAGGGUAACGGCCUACCAAGGCUUUGACGGGUAGCUGGUCUGAGAGGACGAUCAGCCACACUGGCACUGCGACACGGGCCAGACUCCUACGGGAGGCAGCAGUAAGGAAUAUUGCGCAAUGGGCGAAAGCCUGACGCAGCGACGCCGCGUGGGGGAUGAAGGUCUUCGGAUUGUAAACCCUUUCGGGAGGGAAGAUGGAGCGAGCAAUCGUUCGGACGGUACCUCCAGAAGCAGCCACGGCCAAC